ACGUUGUUCGGAAUUACUGGGCGUAAAGCGAGUGUAGGCGGUCUGAAAAGUCGGAUGUGAAAGCCCUGGGCUCAACCCAGGAAGUGCGUUCGAAACUGCCAGGCUAGAGUGUCGGAGAGGUUGGUGGAAUUCUCGGUGUAGAGGUGAAAUUCGUAGAUAUCGAGAGGAACACCGGUGGCGAAGGCGGCCAACUGGACGAACACUGACGCUGGGACUCGAAAGCGUG
rnacentral:rRNA from 1 species